UGUGAAAGCUUCAGAUACAGAAGUGCUUCAGUUCAUCUCACAAGCUCUCUGUGCUCUCUGAUAGACAAAAUACGUGGAUAUAUUAGGAAUUUUACACUUAAAAGUUCUCAGAAAAUGUGUGCCCGGUCCUCACAGGCUAAAGAGCUUAUAAAUCGGUCAACAAAGUUCUACUGCACUAGUUAAAACGCCAGUUUUGUUUUGAACAAGACUUUCGAGCACCUGCCAAUACUCCUGAAGAGAUGUCUUCUCGUUCUCCAUCGGCGGAUGGAGUGGUCUUAGUGACCAACAUGGAAAACUACUUGCAACUGCACCAGUUAAAACCCCGGCCUCUUCUCAUACCUGCAGUUCGUGAAGUCGGUAAUACUCUGGAAGGGAUAUUGGUGCCACGGCCUAACACUUCUUUCAAAAUGAUUAACAGCCAGUGUGAACCCCUACCUUCCUUAAAACCAGCCAAAUGUGUACCCAUUAAAACUCCUAAAUACAUCUAACCAGUAAUGUUGAAACUCUUUGCUGACUUGCCCUGUUCUGGACUUGUCUCCUGGACAAACCACUGCACAAAGCUCUGCAAAGGCAAGGAGAGAUGUAAAGUACAUCAAGAAUACCUUGGCAGAACAUAACACUUACCAUACUGACCAGAGUGAUGUCAAGCAGAAGUCCUUGAUGCUCAGAGAGCCUUACUGCCCCAUGCUCAGGUCUCAGCUGUCAUUCUCUUAUUACCCACCUUGCACUCUACAGAAUGGCAGGGGGUACCGAGUCAGCCAACCAAGAGAAUGCUAACUGCUUUGGGCCUUGGGUGAAUGUCUCUCCUACUGUGUCUGAACUUACCCUACCUUCUGUGUUCAAACACACCUGUUAGCCUGGGAUUUGGAAGAUCAUCGGUGUAUAGAAACACCCACCCUCUAAGAGCACACAGUAACCAAUAUUCAGCCAUGUUGUUGAUAAUUUGUGUGUAUUUAAUGUCAAUGUUCUUGAAAUAAAAUUCUCCCUAAAUUA